rnacentral:rRNA from 1 species
AGUGAACGCUGGCGGUAGGCCUAACACAUGCAAGUCGAACGGCAGCACAGUAAGAGCUUGCUCUUACGGGUGGCGAGUGGCGGAUGGGUGAGGAAUACAUCGGAAUCUACUUUUUCGUGGGGGAUAACGUAGGGAAACUUACGCUAAUACCGCAUACGACCUACGGGUGAAAGCAGGGGAUCUUCGGACCUUGCGCGAUUGAAUGAGCCGAUGUCGGAUUAGCUAGUUGGCGGGGUAAAGGCCCACCAAGGCGACGAUCCGUAGCUGGUCUGAGAGGAUGAUCAGCCACACUGGAACUGAGACACGGUCCAGACUCCUACGGGAGGCAGCAGUGGGGAAUAUUGGACAAUGGGCGCAAGCCUGAUCCAGCCAUACCGCGUGAGUGAAGAAGGCCUUCGGGUUGUAAAGCCCUUUUGUUGGGAAAGAAAAGCAGCAGGUUAAUACCCCGCUGUUCUGACGGUACCCAAAGAAUAAGCACCGGCUAACUUCGUG